rnacentral:rRNA from 1 species
UACAGAGGUCUCAAGCGUUGUUCGGAUUCAUUGGGCGUAAAGGGUGCGUAGGUGGCGAGGUAAGUCGGAUGUGAAAUCUCAGGGCUCAACCCUGAAACUGCAUUCGAUACUGCUUUGCUCGAGGACUGGAGAGGAGAUUGGAAUUCAUGGUGUAGCAGUGAAAUGCGUAGAUAUCAUGAGGAAGACCAGUGGCGAAGGCGGAUCUCUGGACAGUUCCUGACACUGAUGCACGAAGGCCAGGGGAGCAAACGGG